rnacentral:rRNA from 1 species
GGGCCCGCACAAGCGGUGGAGCAUGUGGUUUAAUUCGAAGCAACGCGAAGAACCUUACCUACUCUUGACAUCCUGCGAACUUGGUAGAGAUACCUUGGUGCCUUCGGGAACGCAGAGACAGGUGCUGCAUGGCUGUCGUCAGCUCGUGUUGUGAAAUGUUGGGUUAAGUCCCGUAACGAGCGCAACCCUUGUCCUUAGUUGCCAUCAUUUAGUUGGGGACUCUAAGGAGACUGCCGGUGACAAACCGGAGGAAGGCGGGGACGACGUCAAGUCAUCAUGGCCCUUACGAGUAGGGCUACACACGUGCUACAAUGGCAAGUACAGAGGGCCGCGAAGCCGCGAGGUGGAGCUAAUCUCACAAAGCUUGUCGUAGUCCGGAUUGGAGUCUGCAACUCGACUCCAUGAAGUCGGAAUCGCUAGUAAUCG